rnacentral:rRNA from 1 species
AGCGCGGCGCACAGCUCAGUAACACGUGGCUAACCUGCCCUUGGGACGAGGACAACCCCGGGAAACUGGGGCUAAUCCCCGAUAGGUGAAGAACUCUGGAAUGAAUCUCCGCCCAAAAGGCGCUUACGUCAUGCUCGUAGGUGUUGCCCAAGGAUGGGGCCGCGUCCGAUCAGGUUGUUGGUGAGGCAACGGCUCACCAAGCCUUUUACCGGUGCGGGCCGUGGGAGCGGGAGCCCGGAGAUGGGCACUGAGACAAGGGCCCAGGCCCUACGGGGCGCAGCAGUCACGAAAACUUUGCAAUACACGAAAGUGUGACAGGGCUAUCCCGAGUGCCAUCCGCUGAGGAAGGCUUUUACCCAGUGUACAUAGCUGGGGGAAUAAGGAGAGGGCAAGACUGGUGUCAGCCGCCGCGGUAAUACCAGCUCUCCGAGUGGUGUGGAUGUUUAUUGGGCCUAAAGCAUCCGUAGCUGGCUGGGCAAGUCCCCUGUUAAAUCCACCGAUUUAAUCGUAGGAGUGCGGGGGAUACUGUUCG